GGUUAAGCGACUAAGCGUACACGGUGGAUGCCCUGGCAGUCAGAGGCGAUGAAGGACGUGCUAAUCUGCGAUAAGCGUCGGUAAGGUGAUAUGAACCGUUAUAACCGGCGAUUUCCGAAUGGGGAAACCCAGUGUGAUUCGUCACACUAUCAUUAACUGAAUCCAUAGGUUAAUGAGGCGAACCGGGGGAACUGAAACAUCUAAGUACCCCGAGGAAAAGAAAUCAACCGAGAUUCCCCCAGUAGCGGCGAGCGAACGGGGAGCAGCCCAGAGCCUGAAUCAGUGUGUGUGUUAGUGGAAGCGUCUGGAAAGGCGCGCGAUACAGGGUGACAGCCCCGUACACAAAAAUGCACAUACUGUGAGCUCGAUGAGUAGGGCGGGACACGUGGUAUCCUGUCUGAAUAUGGGGGGACCAUCCUCCAAGGCUAAAUACUCCUGACUGACCGAUAGUGAACCAGUACCGUGAGGGAAAGGCGAAAAGAACCCCGGCGAGGGGAGUGAAAAAGAACCUGAAACCGUGUACGUACAAGCAGUGGGAGCCUCUUUAUGGGGUGACUGCGUACCUUUUGUAUAAUGGGUCAGCGACUUAUAUUCUGUAGCAAGGUUAACCGAAUAGGGGAGCCGAAGGGAAACCGAGUCUUAACUGGGCGUUAAGUUGCAGG
rnacentral:rRNA from 1 species